UACGUAGGGUGCAAGCGUUGUCCGGAAUUAUUGGGCGUAAAGAGCUCGUAGGCGGUUUGUCGCGUCUGCUGUGAAAACUCGGGGCUUAACUCCGGGCCUGCAGUGGGUACGGGCAGACUAGAGUGCGGUAGGGGAGACUGGAAUUCCUGGUGUAGCGGUGAAAUGCGUAGAUAUCCGGAGGAACACCGGUGGCGAAGGCGGCUUCCUGGACCGACACUGACGCUGAGGCGCGAAAGCUAGGGGAGCAAACGGG
rnacentral:rRNA from 1 species